UGUUGAUUUGGCAGAUUAGUGUAUUAAAUUUAGAAUUUAAUAAUGUAAUUGAUUUUACAUUCAAUAA
rnacentral:tRNA from 1 species